rnacentral:rRNA from 1 species
UGAGGAACAUGACUUUCGGCGGGGGAUAGCCGGCCCAACGGCCGGGUAAUACCGCGUACGACCCAAUGGAGACAUCUCCGCUGGGUGAAAGCAGCAAUGCACCGAAAGAGUGCCUCGCGGCCUAUCAGCUAGUUGGUGAGGUAACGGCUCACCAAGGCGACGACGGGUAGCUGGUCUGAGAGGAUGGCCAGCCACAUUGGGACUGAGACACGGCCCAGACCUCCGUAGGGAGG